CGUGUCUGACAUACAUGUGAAAUUGUAGAAUAGGAUAUGCAUGUUAUAUAUUAAAAUAGUAACAAGAUAUGUUUGGGCUUUGGCAGUGUUUAACUAUGGUGGAAGUCAUGGCGUGAACAUAGUAAGUAAAGAUGAUUAUGACAAUUGCAACACUGGAAAUGCUCUCCUAUCUUAUACUGGUGGACAGAAUAGCAUACCCCUCUCAAGUGCAGGUGACAUGUAUUUUGUUUGUCCUACACUUAAUCACUGUGACACUGGCAUGAAAUUGGCAAUCAAAGUUGAAG
rnacentral:misc_RNA from 1 species